rnacentral:misc_RNA from 1 species
ACCAAAAUAGACCGUGCACGCGUUAUCCACCUCGCUGGGCGGCGGAACUGUUUGUCGCCUGGCCAAAGUCCUCGUGAACCUCUUCUCUUUGGAGUGGGGGAUCGGGGUAAAAGAACCCACGGCGCCAAAGGCGUCAAGGAACAUUGUGCCUAACAUCGGGACGUGGCUGGCUAGCUGGUCGCCCCCAUGUUGCAUUGCUAUAUAAUCUACACGACUCUCGGCAACGGAUAUCUUGGCUCUUGCAUCGAUGAAGAACGUAGCGAAAUGCGAUACCUGGUGUGAAUUGCAGAAUCCCGCGAACCAUCGAGUCUUUGAACGCAAGUUGCGCCCGAGGCUAUUUGGCCGAGGGCACGCCUGCAUGGGCGUCACGCUAAACACGCUCCCACCCCACACCUCUGUGGCGGGAAGCGGCAUGUGGCUCCCCGUCUCGUAAGGGGCGAUGGGCCGAAGAUCUGGCUGCCGGUGUAUUAUGUCGGACACAGCGCGUGGUAGGCGACCUCGCUUUACUAAGUGCAGUGCAUCCGACAUGUAUCUGACGUGAAGGCCUCAAUGGACCCUAUUAACGAAGCACAUAAUGCUACGACC